CGGGGGUGAUGCCUGUGGAAUGAGCGGCGGACGGGUGAGUAACACGUGGGCAACCUGCCUGUAAGAUCGGAAUAACUCCGGGAAACCGGGGCUAAUGCCGGGUAAUCCUUUUUUUCGCAUGAGAGAGAGGUAAAAGAUGGCCUUUGGCUAUCACUUACAGAUGGGCCCGCGGCGCAUUAGCUAGUUGGUGAGGUAAUAGCUCACCAAGGCGACGAUGCGUAGCCGACCUGAGAGGGUGAUCGGCCACACUGGGACUGAGACACGGCCCAGACUCCUACGGGAGGCAGCAGUAGGGAAUCUUCCGCAAUGGACGAAAGUCUGACGGAGCAACGCCGCGUGAACGAUGAAGGUCUUCGGAUCGUAAAGUUCUGUUGUUAGGGAAGAACAAGUACCGUGCGAAUAGAGCGGUACCUUGACGGUACCUAACGAGGAAGCCCCGGCUAACUACGUGCCAGCAGCCGCGGUAAUACGUAGGGGGCAAGCGUUGUCCGGAAUUAUUGGGCGUAAAGCGCGCGCAGGCGGUUUCUUAAGUCUGAUGUGAAAGCCCACGGCUCAACCGUGGAGGGUCAUUGGAAACUGGGGAACUUGAGGACAGAAGAGGAGAGUGGAAUUCCACGUGUAGCGGUGAAAUGCGUAGAUAUGUGGAGGAACACCAGUGGC
rnacentral:rRNA from 1 species